rnacentral:rRNA from 1 species
AUUGAACGCUGGCGGCAGGCCUAACACAUGCAAGUCGAGCGGCAGAACAGAACUUGCUCCUUGUUUUAGCGGCCGAGGGGUGGGUGGUGCCUAGAAAUCUGGGUGGUUGCGUUGUAGAACGUGCUGACAUGAAGGCUAAUACGCCAUUAGUCCUACCGGAGAAAGCAGGAACGUUCGGGCUCUGCGCUAUCUGAGGAGCCUAGGUCGGAUUAGCUAGUUGGGGGGGUAAAGGCGCACCAAGGCGACGAUCCGUAACUGGUCUGAGAGGAUGAUCAGUCACACUGGAACUGAGACACGGUCCAGACUCCUACGGGAGGCAGCAGUGGGGAAUAUUGGACAAUGGGCGCAAGCCUGAUCCAGCCAUGCCGCGUGGGUGAAGAAGGUCUUCGGAUUGUAAAGCACUUUUGGUUGGAAGGAAGAGCAGUAAGCUAAUACCCUGCUGUUUUGACGUUACCCAAAGAAUAAGCACCGGCUAACUUCGUG